rnacentral:rRNA from 1 species
AACGAAUGCUGGCGGAGUGCCUAACACAUGCAAGUCGAACGGGAUUCGGAGCUUUCUCCGAUGAGAGUGCGGACGGGUGAGUAACGCGUAGAUAAUCUGCCUGUUGAUCUGGGAUAACUGUUCGAAAGGCCUGCUAAUACCGGAUAAGCCCACGGAGACCUGGGUCUUUGCGGGCAAAGGGGGGGACCUUCGGGACUUACGGCAUCAGCUGAUUCAGGGUACCAUUAGCUAGUUGGUAGGGUAAAGGGCUACCAAGGCGACGAUGGUUAGCUGGUCUGAGAGGAUGAUCAGACACACUGGAACUGAGACACGGUCCAGACGCCGACGGGAGGCAGCAGUGGGGAAUUUUGCGCAAUGGGGUAAACCCUGACGCAGCAACGCCGCGUGAGUGAUGAAGGCUCUUGGGUCGUAAAGCUCUGACAGAGGGAAAGAAGUGUAUGGUGGUUAAUACCCAUUGUACUUGACGGUACCCUCAAAGGAAGCACCGGCUAACUCCGUGCCAGCAGCCGCCGUAACAC